rnacentral:rRNA from 1 species
UGGGGAAUUUUGGACAAUGGGCGAAAGCCUGAUCCAGCAAUGCCGCGUGUGUGAAGAAGGCCUUCGGGUUGUAAAGCACUUUUGUCCGGAAAGAAAUCCUUGGCUCUAAUACAGUCGGGGGAUGACGGUACCGGAAGAAUAAGCACCGGCUAACUACGUGCCAGCAGCCGCGGUAAUACGUAGGGUGCAAGCGUUAAUCGGAAUUACUGGGCGUAAAGCGUGCGCAGGCGGUUUGCUAAGACCGAUGUGAAAUCCCCGGGCUCAACCUGGGAACUGCAUUGUGACUGGCAGGCUAGAGUAUGGCAGAGGGGGGUAGAAUUCCACGUGUAGCAGUGAAAUGCGUAGAGAUGUGGAGGAAUACCGAUGGCGAAGGCAGCCCCCU